ACAAGCGUACACGGUGGAUGCCCUGGCAGUCAGAGGCGAUGAAGGACGUGCUAAUCUGCGAAAAGCGCCGGUAAGGUGAUAUGAACCGUUACAGCCGGCGAUGUCUGAAUGGGGAAACCCAGUGUGAUUCGUCACACUAUCUCAGCAUGAAUACAUAGUGCUGUGAGGCGAACCGGGGGAACUGAAACAUCUAAGUACCCCGAGGAAAAGAAAUCAACCGAGAUUCCCCCAGUAGCGGCGAGCGAACGGGGAACAGCCCAGAGCCUGAAUCAGCUUGUGUGUCAGUGGAACGGUCUGGAAAGGCCGGCGAUACAGGGUGACAGCCCCGUACACGAAGGCACACAGGCUGUGAGCUCGAUGAGUAGGGCGGGACACGUGAUAUCCUGUCUGAAGAUGGGGGGACCAUCCUCCAAGGCUAAAUACUCCUGACUGACCGAUAGUGAACCAGUACCGUGAGGGAAAGGCGAAAAGAACCCCGGCGAGGGGAGUGAAACAGAACCUGAAACCGUGUACGUACAAGCAGUGGGAGCCUUCGUAAGAGGGUGACUGCGUACCUUUUGUAUAAUGGGUCAGCGACUUAUAUUCUGUAGCAAGGUUAACCGUAUAGGGGAGCCGAAGGGAAACCGAGUCUUAACCGGGCGUUAAGUUGCAGGGUAUAGACCCGAAACCCGGUGAUCUAGCCAUGGGCAGGUUGAAGGUUGGGUAACACUAACUGGAGGACCGAACCGACUAAUGUUGAAAAAUUAGCGGAUGACCUGUGGCUGGGGGUGAAAGGCCAAUCAAACCGGGAGAUAGCUGGUUCUCCCCGAAAGCUAUUUAGGUAGCGCCUCGUGAACUCAUCUUCGGGGGUAGAGCACUGUUUCGGCUAGGGGGCCAUCCCGGCUUACCAACCCGAUGCAAACUACGAAUACCGAAGAAUGUUAUCACGGGAGACACACGGCGGGUGCUAACGUCCGUCGUGAAGAGGGAAACAACCCAGACCGCCAGCUAAGGUCCCAAAGUCAUGGUUAAGUGGGAAACGAUGUGGGAAGGCACAGACAGCCAGGAUGUUGGCUUAGAAGCAGCCAUCAUUUAAAGAAAGCGUAAUAGCUCACUGGUCGAGUCGGCCUGCGCGGAAGAUGUAACGGGGCUAAACCAUGCACCGAAGCUGCGGCAGCGACACUUAUGUGUUGUUGGGUAGGGGAGCGUUCUGUAAGCCUGUGAAGGUGUGCUGUGAGGCAUGCUGGAGGUAUCAGAAGUGCGAAUGCUGACAUAAGUAACGAUAAAGCGGGUGAAAAGCCCGCUCGCCGGAAGACCAAGGGUUCCUGUCCAACGUUAAUCGGGGCAGGGUGAGUCGACCCCUAAGGCGAGGCCGAAAGGCGUAGUCGAUGGGAAACAGGUUAAUAUUCCUGUACUUGGUGUUACUGCGAAGGGGGGACGGAGAAGGCUAUGUUGGCCGGGCGACGGUUGUCCCGGUUUAAGCGUGUAGGUGUGUGUUCCAGGUAAAUCCGGUUCACUUUAACACUGAGGCGUGAUGACGAGGCACUACGGUGCUGAAGUAACAAAUGCCCUGCUUCCAGGAAAAGCCUCUAAGCAUCAGGUAACACGAAAUCGUACCCCAAACCGACACAGGUGGUCAGGUAGAGAAUACCAAGGCGCUUGAGAGAACUCGGGUGAAGGAACUAGGCAAAAUGGUGCCGUAACUUCGGGAGAAGGCACGCUGACAUGUAGGUGAAGCCCCUGCGGGUGGAGCUGAAGUCAGUCGAAGAUACCAGCUGGCUGCAACUGUUUAUUAAAAACACAGCACUGUGCAAACACGAAAGUGGACGUAUACGGUGUGACGCCUGCCCGGUGCCGGAAGGUUAAUUGAUGGGGUUAUCGCAAGAGAAGCUCCUGAUCGAAGCCCCGGUAAACGGCGGCCGUAACUAUAACGGUCCUAAGGUAGCGAAAUUCCUUGUCGGGUAAGUUCCGACCUGCACGAAUGGCGUAAUGAUGGCCAGGCUGUCUCCACCCGAGACUCAGUGAAAUUGAACUCGCUGUGAAGAUGCAGUGUACCCGCGGCAAGACGGAAAGACCCCGUGAACCUUUACUACAGCUUGACACUGAACAUUGAGCCUUGAUGUGUAGGAUAGGUGGGAGGCUUUGAAGCGUGGACGCCAGUCUGCGUGGAGCCAACCUUGAAAUACCACCCUUUAAUGUUUGAUGUUCUAACCUGGCGCCCUAAUCGGGCGUGGGGACAGUGUCUGGUGGGUAGUUUGACUGGGGCGGUCUCCUCCCAAAGUGUAACGGAGGAGCACGAAGGUCAGCUAAUCCUGGUCGGACAUCAGGAGGUUAGUGCAAUGGCAUAAGCUGGCUUGACUGCGAGAGUGACGGCUCGAGCAGGUGCGAAAGCAGGUCAUAGUGAUCCGGUGGUUCUGUAUGGAAGGGCCAUCGCUCAACGGAUAAAAGGUACUCCGGGGAUAACAGGCUGAUACCGCCCAAGAGUUCAUAUCGACGGCGGUGUUUGGCACCUCGAUGUCGGCUCAUCACAUCCUGGGGCUGAAGUAGGUCCCAAGGGUAUGGCUGUUCGCCAUUUAAAGUGGUACGCGAGCUGGGUUUAGAACGUCGUGAGACAGUUCGGUCCCUAUCUGCCGUGGGCGCUGGAGAAUUGAGGGGGGCUGCUCCCAGUACGAGAGGACCGGAGUGGACGCAUCACUGGUGUUCGGGUUGUCAUGCCAAUGGCACUGCCCGGUAGCUAAAUGCGGAAGAGAUAAGUGCUGAAAGCAUCUAAGCACGAAACUUGCCCCGAGAUGAGUUCUCCCUGAGACUAUAAGUCUCCUGAAGGAACGUUGAAGACGACGACGUUGAUAGGCCGGGUGUGUAAGCGCAGCGAUGCGUUGAGCUAACCGGUACUAAUGAACCGUGAGGCUUAACC
rnacentral:rRNA from 1 species